GCUCCGUUGGCCUAAUGGUUAGAGAGCCCACCUCAAAUGCGGGAGGUCGCGGGUUCGAACCCCAGCCGAGUCA